AGUGAACGCUGGCGGCGUGCCUAAUACAUGCAAGUCGAACGAUGAAGCUUCUAGCUUGCUAGAAUGCUGAUUAGUGGCGCACGGGUGAGUAACGCAUAGGUUAUGUGCCUCUUAGUUUGGGAUAGCCAUUGGAAACGAUGAUUAAUACCAGAUACUCCCUACGGGGGAAAGAUUUAUCGCUAAGAGAUCAGCCUAUGUCCUAUCAGCUUGUUGGUAAGGUAAUGGCUUACCAAGGCUAUGACGGGUAUCCGGCCUGAGAGGGUGAACGGACACACUGGAACUGAGACACGGUCCAGACUCCUACGGGAGGCAGCAGUAGGGAAUAUUGCUCAAUGGGGGAAACCCUGAAGCAGCAACGCCGCGUGGAGGAUGAAGGUUUUAGGAUUGUAAACUCCUUUUGUUAGAGAAGAUAAUGACGGUAUCUAACGAAUAAGCACCGGCUAACUCCGUGCCAGCAGCCGCGGUAAUACGGAGGGUGCAAGCGUUACUCGGAAUCACUGGGCGUAAAGAGCGCGUAGGCGGGAUAGUCAGUCAGGUGUGAAAUCCUAUGGCUUAACCAUAGAACUGCAUUUGAAACUACUAUUCUAGAGUGUGGGAGAGGUAGGUGGAAUUCUUGGUGUAGGGGUAAAAUCCGUAGAGAUCAAGAGGAAUACUCAUUGCGAAGGCGACCUGCUGGAACAUUACUGACGCUGAUUGCGCGAAAGCGUGGGGAGCAAACAGGAUUAGAUACCCUGGUAGUCCACGCCCUAAACGAUGGAUGCUAGUUGUUGGAGGGCUUAGUCUCUCCAGUAAUGCAGCUAACGCAUUAAGCAUCCCGCCUGGGGAGUACGGUCGCAAGAUUAAAACUCAAAGGAAUAGACGGGGACCCGCACAAGCGGUGGAGCAUGUGGUUUAAUUCGAAGAUACACGAAGAACCUUACCUAGGCUUGACAUUGAGAGAAUCCGCUAGAAAUAGUGGAGUGUCUGGCUUGCCAGACCUUGAAAACAGGUGCUGCACGGCUGUCGUCAGCUCGUGUCGUGAGAUGUUGGGUUAAGUCCCGCAACGAGCGCAACCCCCUUUCUUAGUUGCUAACAGGUCAUGCUGAGAACUCUAAGGAUACUGCCUCCGUAAGGAGGAGGAAGGUGGGGACGACGUCAAGUCAUCAUGGCCCUUACGCCUAGGGCUACACACGUGCUACAAUGGGGUGCACAAAGAGAAGCAAUACUGCGAAGUGGAGCCAAUCUUCAAAACACCUCUCAGUUCGGAUUGUAGGCUGCAACUCGCCUGCAUGAAGCUGGAAUCGCUAGUAAUCGCAAAUCAGCCAUGUUGCGGUGAAUACGUUCCCGGGUCUUGUACUCACCGCCCGUCACACCAUGGGAGUUGUGUUUGCCUUAAGUCAGGAUGCUAAAUUAGCUACUGCCCACGGCACACACAGCGACUGGGGUG
rnacentral:rRNA from 1 species